rnacentral:rRNA from 1 species
UGGGGAAUAUUGGACAAUGGGCGAAAGCCUGAUCCAGCCACGCCGCGUGAGUGAUGAAGGCCUUCGGGUCGUAAAGCUCUGUGGGGAGGGACGAAUAAGCACGGGGUAAAUAAUCCCGGGCCCUGACGGUACCUCCUUAGCAAGCACCGGCUAACUCCGUGCCAGCAGCCGCGGUAAUACGGAGGGUGCAAACGUUGCUCGGAAUUACUGGGCGUAAAGCGCGUGUAGGCGGCUAAGUAAGUCAGGCGUGAAAGCCCUGGGCUUAACCCAGGAAGUGCACCUGAUACUGCAUAGCUUGAGUACGGGAGAGGGCAGUGGAAUUCCCGGUGUAGAGGUGAAAUUCGUAGAUAUCGGGAGGAACACCAGUGGCGAAGGCGGCUGCCUGGACCGAUACUGACGCUGAGACGCGAAAGCGUGGGGAGCAAACAGG